rnacentral:lncRNA from 1 species
CUAAGAGGGUUCCAGCCUGUUCCACGACUUUUCUAUCUCGCCUCUCUUUCUUCUCUCUCCUUCAUUUCAGUUUCCCUCUUGCCUCUCGCCUCUCGCCUCUUCAUCAAUCUUCUCUUCUGUGCCGCCUCUAUUUCUUCUCUUAUCUUCUCUGUCAAUUUCUCUUCAUCAAGAAGGACCAGAUCGAUGGCCAAGUUCAGAUCGGUUGUUUUCAUCAAUUCUCUUCUCUGGGUCAUCGGGUUUCGUUUGAAAUCUGAGUAUGGUGCCAUGGUGGUUGAAGUCUGAGCACGACCUCCGCCACCACCGCAAGGACCAGAUCAAUCUAUUUUUCUGAGAUAUUGGGUAUGAUGGUGCAUGAAGAAUCGUACUUGAUCUGAAGGGCAUGGGUUAUCAUGAUGUUGAUGACUUUGAUUAUACUUACAAAGCAUGUUCUCGAUGCGGUGGAAACAACAAGAAGGAAGAUGAGGGGCAGGGUAACAACUAACAAGAAGGCGAGUGCUAAAAUGUAAUCAGAUUACAAAUGUUGCUUCAAUGUUGUCAUUCAAAGGAAGUCCUUAUUGGAUGGCCCCCGAGUCAUGAAUUUUGUGAGGCUGUGCUUGCAAUGGAACCCAUCUGAGCAUGCUACUGCUUCUCAACUGCUAGACCACCCUUCCAUUAGAGAGCAAAUGACAACAAGAAGUUCGAACUAGUUAUGGUAAGUGCUUCAAAGUUAAUUUAUUUAAUCCCUAUUCGCAACUCAUAUUUUGCUUCUGUUUUGUUUGCAAUUCGUAUUUCAUUUGCAGGUGUUGAAAACUAUAGGUUUGUGGAUAUGAAGCAAGCUGAUCCAUAGGGAGAUAUUCUGAAAUGGGAACUUCCCAAAUGGGAGAAAAUGUCCAAUGGCCUUGAUAAGGCUCCAACGGCCUUGUUUUUUAAUGUUAAUGAUUAGCUCUUUUAAUUUUUUUUAUUGAUUAGGCUCCAACGGCCUUGAUUCCCAGUUUUCAAAGUAAUUUGUUAAACGAAGAUGGACAUGAUUCAGGACUCAAGUAGACUAAACAUAUUAAAAUAUAUAUAAAUGGUUAUAUUUGCGGAUCAAAUAGACUAAAUAUGUUUAAACAUAUAUAAAUGACCGAAAAAAUAAAAUAAACCGAGCUUCAACCGAACUGAACCGAACCGAACAGGUCGGUUCGGUUUUCGGCGCCGGACUCUCAAAAAAAAAAAACCGAACCGAACCGAAAUAAAAUUCGGUUCGGUUUUCGGUUUAGGGUCAAAACCGAACCGAAUGAAACCGAACCCACCCCUAACAAGUCCUUUCUUACUACCUUUGCUACGCUUCAUGGGUGAAGUCUUGACCACUUUGCAAUCUGCCUUGGUCUUAUUCUUGGCACCACAAGGACGGCCUCAUUUUUUAGUGCCUUCUUGAGCAACAUUCAUCACAAUUAACCAACCCAAUAGAGACAUUUUCAAGGUUGGUUGUCCCAACUGCAAGACUGAGUAGAGGCUUCUUGGGGGAAACUCCCAUCCUCAACAUGUUUCCUCCUCAUACCAACCGUGUUAUACUUUGAUCGAGCAACACAUCUCCAAAGACAAUUCAGUACUGCCAUCACCACCACUGGACUCCACCCCCACCACAGGGCUCUCUACCGCCGGUGUAGCCUCACUACUACCAUUAGGACCUGUCUUUCCUUUUCUUGAUUUUAUGUUAAUAGCAAGGUUUCAAAUUUUUUCGAAACUACCGAAAUUUUCAUUGAAAUUUCCGUAAUUCAGAAAUACGGAAACGAAAUUCAUAUGCUAUAUCAUUU